GUGUCAGCCGCCGCGGUAAUACGUAGGGUGCGAGCGUUAAUCGGAAUUACUGGGCGUAAAGCGUGCGCAGGCGGUUGUAUAAGUCAGAUGUGAAAUCCCCGGGCUCAACCUGGGAACUGCAUUUGAGACUGUACGGCUAGAGUGUGGCAGAGGGGGGUGGAAUUCCACGUGUAGCAGUGAAAUGCGUAGAGAUGUGGAGGAACACCGAUGGCGAAGGCAGCCCCCUGGGCCAAUACUGACGCUCAUGCACGAAAGCGUGGGGAGCAAACAGGAUUAGAAACCCUUGUAGUCC
rnacentral:rRNA from 1 species